UACGUAGGGGGGCAAGCGUUUGUCCGGAAUCAUUGGGCGUAAAGCGCGUGUAGGCGGCUCGAUAAGUCUGCUGUGAAAGUCCAGGGCUCAACCCUGGAAUGCCGGUGGAAACUGUCGAGCUAGAGUCCGGAAGAGGCGAGUGGAAUUCCUGGUGUAGCGGUGAAAUGCGCAGAUAUCAGGAGGAACACCAAUGGCGAAGGCAGCUCGCUGGGACGGUACUGACGCUGAGACGCGAAGGCGUGGGGAGCAAACAGG
rnacentral:rRNA from 1 species